rnacentral:ncRNA from 1 species
GAGAGCCGUGUGAUGGGUGACUAUCCAGCACGGUUCAGAGAGCACUUUUAGUCUGCCCUGGUGAAUGGAAGCACCCCUAUCAAGCAAGAAGGAAGCAGCUCUUCCCACGGAGUAGUAACCAUUGACUCUAU